rnacentral:rRNA from 1 species
CUUAGAAGCAGCCAUUCAUUUAAAGAGUGCGUAACAGCUCACUAGUCAAGAGAUUUUGCGUGGAAAAUGUAACGGGGCUAAACGUAAUACCGAAGACAUGGGUUCAUACUUUUGUAUGGGCGGUAGAGGAGCGUUCCUAUCGGCGGUGAAGCAGCAUUGUAAAGUGUUGUGGAGCGUUAGGAAGUGAGAAUGCUGGAAUGAGUAACCAUAAGAGGGGUGAGAAUCCCCUCGGCCGUAAGAGCAAGGUUUCCUGAGCUAUGGUAAUCAUCUCAGGGUUAGUCGGGCCUAAGCCGAGGCGCAUAGCGUAGGCGAUGGACAUCAGGUUGAUAUUCCUGAACCGGCGUAGUUUGUACACUGUUCACGGAGAGAUAUUCGGAGCGGAUUCAUGGUUUAUCCGUCCAACCGAGCGGGAACGCAAAGGGAGUGAAAGUUACUCUGCGGAGUGACGAUUCUGGAAAAGGCUCUGGCUAGAAAAGCAGGUGUACGCGUGGCUAUGUCCGCCCGUACCGCAAACCAACACAGGUGCUCGAGUCGAGUAGACUCAGGCUUACGAGAGAACCUUCGCUAAGGAACUCGGCAAUACAGCGACCGUAACUUCGGAAUAAGGUCUGCCCCCACUUCGGUGGACGUGUUGUCAGUUUCAAAGCUUAAGGUAUGGUUGAAGAGUAUCUUUAAUACCAUCAAUUCUUUUAGAGAUAGAACCACGCUUUUGGAACUGAAGCUCAACGCAUCUAACGAUGUGGGGGCCGCAGCAAAAGAGCCCACGGAACUGUUUACCAAAAACACAGCUCUCUGCUAACACGAAAGUGGAUGUAUAGGGGGUGACUCCUGCCCGGUGCUGGAAGGUUAAGGGGAACGCUUUACGGUGUGAACUGAAGCCCCAGUGAACGGCGGCGGUAACUAUAACCGUCCUAAGGUAGCGAAAUUCCUUGUCAGGUAAGUUCUGACCCGCACGAAUGGAGUAAUCAUGUGGGCACUGUCUCAGCGAAGGACUCGGUGAAAGUGCAUUGGCGGUAAAGAUGCCGUCUGUCCAUACCAGGACGAGAAGACCCCAUGGAGCUUUACUACAGCUUUACAUUGAAUACGGUUUCAACAUGUGUAGCAUAGGUGGGAGACGUUGAAGCAGAUACGCUAGUAUUUGUGGAGUCGCAAUGUGAAAUACCACCCUUGUUGUGAUUGUGUUCUCACGCUGACCGUUAUCCGGUUAGCGGACCGUGUAUGGUGGGUAGUUUAACUGGGGCGGUUGCCUCCUAAAGAGUAGCGGAGGCGUUCAAAGGUUGGCUAACUUCGGAUGGAAAUCGAAGUGAUAGUGUAUGCGCACAAGCCAGCUUGACUGUGAGGAUCACAAUCCAAUCAGAGACGAAAGUCGGAGCAAGUGACCCGCUGUAAGUACUUUGUACAAUGUAUGUGGGAACGACAGCGCACACGGAUAAAAGUUACCCUGGGGAUAACAGGCUUAUAGCGCCCAAUAGUUCACAUAGACGGCGCUGUUUGGCACCUCGAUGUCGGCUCAUCACAUCCUGGAGGGGGAGCACCUUCCAAGGGUUCGGCUGUUCGCCGAUUAAAGUGGUACGCGAGCUGGGUUCAGAACGUCGUGAGACAGUUCGGUUUAUAUCCGGCAUGGACGUAAGGAUUCUUGAGGAGAUUUGUCUCUAGUACGAGAGGACCGAGAUGAACGAACCUCUGGUGUAUCGAUUGUGGCCACCUGCCGCAGUGUCGAGUAGCUAUGUUCGGUUAAGAUAAGCGCUGAAAGCAUAUUAAGCGCGAAACUGACUCCAAGAUUAGGAAUCCCAUGAGGACACAGAAAGAUGAUCUGUUUGAUAGGCGCAAGGUGUAAACCUGGUAACAGGCUAGCCAAAGCGUACUAAUAGUCCAAUCGCCUUUUUA